rnacentral:rRNA from 1 species
GGCGUGCUUAACACAUGCAAGUCGAACGNUGAAGCCUCUUCGGGGGUGGAUUAGUGGCGAACGGGUGAGUAACACGUGGGCAAUCUGCCCUGCACUUCGGGACAAGCCCUGGAAACGGGGUCUAAUACCGGAUAUGACUCGGGGAGGCAUCUCUUCCGGGUGGAAAGCUUCGGCGGUGCAGGAUGAGCCCGCGGCCUAUCAGCUUGUUGGUGGGGUGAUGGCCUACCAAGGCGACGACGGGUAGCCGGCCUGAGAGGGCGACCGGCCACACUGGGACUGAGACACGGCCCAGACUCCUACGGGAGGCAGCAGUGGGGAAUAUUGCACAAUGGGCGGAAGCCUGAUGCAGCGACGCCGCGUGAGGGAUGACGGCCUUCGGGUUGUAAACCUCUUUCAGCAGGGAAGAAGCCUUUAAAGUGACGGUACCUGCAGAAGAAGCACCGGCUAACUACGUGCCAGCAGCCGCGGUAAUACGUAGGGUGCGAGCGUUGUCCGGAAUUAUUGGGCGUAAAGAGCUCGUAGGCGGCUUGUCGCGUCGGAUGUGAAAGCCCGGGGCUUAACCCUGGGUCUGCAUUCGAUACGGGCAGGCUGGAGUUCGGUAGGGGAGAUCGGAAUUCCUGGUGUAGCGGUGAAAUGCGCAGAUAUCAGGAGGAACACCGGUGGCGAAGGCGGAUCUCUGGGCCGAUACUGACGCUGAGGAGCGAAAGCAUGGGGAGCGAACAGGAUUAGAUACCCUGGUAGUCCAUGCCGUAAACGUUGGGCACUAGGUGUGGGCGACAUUCCACGUUGUCCGUGCCGCAGCUAACGCAUUAAGUGCCCCGCCUGGGGAGUACGGCCGCAAGGCUAAAACUCAAAGGAAUUGACGGGGGCCCGCACAAGCGGCGGAGCAUGUGGCUUAAUUCGACGCAACGCGAAGAACCUUACCAAGGCUUGACAUACACCAGAAAGCUGUGGAGACACGGCCCCCCUUGUGGUUGGUGUACAGGUGGUGCAUGGCUGUCGUCAGCUCGUGUCGUGAGAUGCUGGGUUAAGUCCCGCAACGAGCGCAACCCUUGUCUCGUGUUGCCAGCAGGCCCUUGUGGUGCUGGGGACUCACGGGAGACUGCCGGGGUCAACUAGGAGGAAGGUGGGGACGACGUCAAGUCAUCAUGCCCCUUAUGUCUUGGGCUGCACACGUGCUACAAUGGCCGGUACAAUGAGUGGCGAUGCCGUGAGGUGGAGCGAAUCUCAAAAAGCCGGUCUCAGUUCGGAUUGGGGUCUGCAACUCGACCCCAUGAAGUCGGAGUCGCUAGUAAUCGCAGAUCAGCAUUGCUGCGGUGAA